UGUAUUCAAGUUUUCUAUGUCUAUCAACAGUUUUGACAAAGUUUUCGUACAACGUAACACUAUGUUUCUCUGCUCAGGUAAUUGUUGCUGAUAACUUCUUCACUGGAUCUAAAGACAACCUUAGAAAAUGGAUUGGUCAUCCAAGAUUUGAGCUGAUUCGUCAUGGUAUAAUUUCGCCAAUUUGUCUAUCACAAUCAUAUGCAGCCUGACUAUUGCAUAUAAGAUGGAAAUUGAAAUUGAAAUCAAAACUUAUGUCCUAUGGUUGUACAUUACAUUGUAUUUGGGGUGUUAAAUCUAGAUUGUUAGUGAUCUUAAAAACUAUGAAGCAUGCAAUAGAAGCUUGUUGGCCCUUUGAUAUUGUACUCGUACAACAUGAAUGAUACUUCUGCAUGAGCAUUAAAAUUUGUGUAUCUCAAUGUCUUUAAACUUUUUAAUAAACUAUAGACCUCAACAUUCAUUUCUUUUCUUUUCCCUUGAGUAGAUGUGACAGAGCAACUGUUGGUUGAGGUUGAUCAGAUCUACCAUCUUGCAUGCCCUGCUUCUCCGAUUUUCUACAAAUACAAUCCUGUAAAGGUAGGGUUUCUAUAGUCUCUAUACAUGAUCAUUUUCAAGAGUAGCUUACAGAACCCCUUCUUUGUCUCUCCCCCCAUCUCUCCCCCCACCCUUAAACUUAUAUUUAAGUUUUAUUGUUGUUGUUAUUAUUAUUAUUAUGUCCAGUAACUCAGAUUGUGUACAUUUUCCGAUUGAUCUAUAUGAUGCUUUAGCCUAUGUGAGAGGGGAUGGUAUCAGAUUUAACCCCUAAUGUGUUGGUGAAAUAUAUAGUUUAGUGAGAGGAUCCAUUCCCAUGCAUAUGACAUAACAUCAUAUUAUCUCACAAUUGAGAAGUUUGUGAUUACCAGAACAAUGAUGUGGCCAGGAUCAUUCAUUAUAUUAGUUCUUUUUUGUUCAUGAAUUCUUAAUCAUGGUUUUUUUAAUUUUUGAACCAGUCCAAUAUGAGAAUUUUGGUCACUGGAGGAGCUGGUUUUAUUGGUUCUCACCUAGUUGACAGAUUGAUGGAAAAUGAGAAAAAUGAGGUUUGCUUAGCUUAUUUCUUUCUGUGUACUUUGUAUUCAAGUUUUCUAUGUCUAUCAACAGUUUUGACAAAGUUUUCGUACAACGUAACACUAUGUUUCUCUGCUCAGGUAAUUGUUGCUGAUAACUUCUUCACUGGAUCUAAAGACAACCUUAGAAAAUGGAUUGGUCAUCCAAGAUUUGAGCUGAUUCGUCAUGGUAUAAUUUCGCCAAUUUGUCUAUCACAAUCAUAUGCAGCCUGACUAUUGCAUAUAAGAUGGAAAUUGAAAUUGAAAUCAAAACUUAUGUCCUAUGGUUGUACAUUACAUUGUAUUUGGGGUGUUAAAUCUAGAUUGUUAGUGAUCUUAAAAACUAUGAAGCAUGCAAUAGAAGCUUGUUGGCCCUUUGAUAUUGUACUCGUACAACAUGAAUGAUACUUCUGCAUGAGCAUUAAAAUUUGUGUAUCUCAAUGUCUUUAAACUUUUUAAUAAACUAUAGACCUCAACAUUCAUUUCUUUUCUUUUCCCUUG
rnacentral:lncRNA from 1 species